AACUUGCUCGGUUGUCCAAUUUGUAAUGUUGCAGUUUGAGCUGAUCCAUUUAUCGAUGUUAUGAAACCUGUGUCUACACGUCCCAUGAGACCGACAUUCAAGUGUAAUCGCUAAGUGACUCUCUUUGAUGAAUAUGUAGGCGAAUAUCAUAAUAAUUUUUUGAUUCUAAGAUCUGAUAUAUACACUGAUGAAGACUCGUAAUUAAAAGUCGAAACGUUUGCAAAUUUAUUUAUGUUUAUGGUUCUGGUUUCUUACGUAUAACACCCAGCGCGGCUCUUAAGCUCGUUAUUUUUAUCAAUUUUGAAUAGUAAUGUUUAACUUGUUAAUAAAGUUACUGAAGGAACUGGUAUAUUUAUUUUCCCUGAUUCUGAAUUCCUUAAUAUCUUAACUUCGAUAAAAAAUUGACUUGUGUUGUUUUUCAAUUAAAUUGAU